rnacentral:rRNA from 1 species
UACGUAGGGGGCAAGCGUUGUCCGGAAUCCUUGGGCGUAAAGAGCGUGUAGGUGGCUCGGUAAGUCUGCUGUGAAAGUCCAGGGCUCAACCCUGGAAUGCCGGUGGAAACUGUCGAGCUAGAGUCCGGAAGAGGCGAGUGGAAUUCCUGGUGUAGCGGUGAAAUGCGCAGAUAUCAGGAGGAACACCAAUGGCGAAGGCAGCUCGCUGGGACGGUACUGACACUGAGACGCGCAAGCGUGGGGAGCAAACAGG